rnacentral:misc_RNA from 1 species
UGAUUCAUAUACAUAUGUGUGUAUAUUUGUUUGGAACAUAUAUUAGAACGUGAGAAAUAUAUUGGACAAAUAAAAGGAUUGGCCUUCUUACACAAGCAAUCGCCUCCAUAGCUUUAGUGAGGGAUGAGAUAGUUAUAAGCUUAUUGUCAUUUAUGUAAUAAUAAUAAAGAGCUCAAAGUUUAUAACAUGAAAUGUUGCCUCAAAAAAGAGACAAGGAACUAGGGUUA